rnacentral:rRNA from 1 species
GUAGGUGGCAAGCGUUGUCCGGAAUUAUUGGGCGUAAAGCGCGCGCAGGGCGGUCCUUUAAGUCUGAUGUGAAAGCCCACGGCUCAACCGUGGAGGGUCAUUGGAAACUGGGGGACUUGAGUACAGAAGAGGAAAGCGGAAUUCCAAGUGUAGCGGUGAAAUGCGUAGAGAUUUGGAGGAACACCAGGGGCGAAGGCGGCUUUCUGGUCUGUAACUGACGCUGAGGCGCGAAAGCGUGGGGAGCAAACAGGAUUAGAUACCCUGGUAGUCCACGCCGUAAACGAUGAGUGCUAAGUGUUAGGGGGUUUCCGCCCCUUAGUGCUGCAGCUAACGCAUUAAGCACUCCGCCUGGGGAGUACGGCCGCAAAGGCUG